CAUGGAACCUAAAGUUCACCCACCCCAAGUCAAAAAAAUUCACAUUUCUUUUUGAUUAGAAACUAAAGUGUCUAGCUGUUGCAUAGCACAUUGGCAUUUCAAACCUUUUUGAUUUCUCCCUGUAAUUGGUUAAAUUGCUGUAAAGCCCGGACAGUGGGGGUCAUUGUUAUUUUUCAUUAUGUGAAAAACUGAAUCUGGAGGUAUUUAGAAAAAACUUUACCCAAAACCACUUACUGGAGCUGUGCCGGCCAAGUUCCUACACCAAGUAACGUGACGGAGAUCUUAACUUAUUUGCUGGUCCAAAAAAGGUAUGAAACUUAACUAUACCUCUGCCACCUCCUCCCCCUUCCACACACACUUGGACGCACUGCCCAUUGCCGUCAUCUUUGGUUUCUGGGGGAGGUGUGGGGAAGGCUAAAUGAAUGGUGUAGUAAAUAAUUUCCCUAAGUAUUGGCAUUUUAAAAGUGGUCACGAGGCAGAGGAAUCCCAAAGGGUUAAUAUCUAUUUGGAAGGAUAUCCCCAGACUUCAGAAACCUAGCAGAAGUGACAGGGACCUUAUACAGAACUUAAGGUAUAGCCUGGCUUCUUGAAUCCUUAAGAGUGCAGUCCUUUGCCCUUUGACUCAUCUGGGGUCUUCUCUCUGAAUAGUUACUAAUUAUUUGGAAUUUUAAUUGGCUAUAAAUUGUCAGUUUGAUUUUUCUACUGCAAACUCAUGUUUGGAUUAAAUGUGUUUCCAUACUUCUUAUUUGUAUGGAUACUGGAGAGAGAGUGAAUUAUAAUGGGAACUUAAGCACAAGCCUAUAUGGAUUAUGGAUCUUUUAUGCAGGAAAAAUCAAUUUUCUUAGGACAUGAAAAAGCACCAUGUACACAAAGGUUAAUGGGCUCAAAUUUUAUUUUCUUUGAAAAUAACUUCAAAUUGUAAUUAUGAUAUGUGCUCACAAAGUAGGUCUAGAGACUAUAAAAAGUGCUAUGCUAUAAAUGUUUAACAAAUGUCUCUCACAAAGAAGGGAAAACAUCCUGAUAUAUAACAUUUGCCAAUUUCUAAGGUAAAAUUACUGCCAUCUCAUGGCUAAUUUUAAACAACAGAUGUGACAUCACUGAAUGCAAAUUUAGGAAGAGAUGUGCACGAUCAGCUCAUACACUGAAUGAGUUUCAAAAUCACUGGCAAUCUGAUUACGUAGAGUUAGGACCGCUGCUAACAUUUCUGUGUUUUUCCAACUAGUCUUUCUAUGAAAAUAUCCAUAUUGGUUCUAAUGAAGAAUCUUGUCAUUGGUUUUUGAUCCAGUUUCACUGAUUCCAUCUGGGCUAAGUGCCUACCUGUCUCAAGAUCCUUAUGGAGAUGUCUUCUGGGAGAGAUCACGUGUACAUGUCCCCCUCCUCAGUGUGACUAAAUGGAUCAGAGGCUUUCCUCCUCUACAGGACACUGGCCAGAAGACUACUGGAGAGUUUGAACAGGGGACCCUGCUGUCUCCCCUGUGACAUCGGCCCAGAACAAGUCCAGCUGCUGAUUGCCUGGCGGGACCCAAAAGUGCGAGUGUCACAGAAAGCAUUGAGGACUAGGCCUACAGCUCUCCCCUGUGAUGAGGCGCUGAGGGUUGGCAGCCCUUUGGCCCUUGAGGAAGAUGAGAAAGUGCGUGACUCAGAAUGUCAGAACAGGCAGUGCCCUUUGAAUCACAACAUCGACUUUGCCUUCUUACAAACAGGGCCGCUGAGCACAAGAGCAAGCAAGUGCCUUCCUCACUGUCAUAGAGCGUCUCGUGAGUGGCAGAGUCAAGACAACAACCCAGGUCCCUGGACUCCCAGGUUGGUGCUGUGCUCUUUCCACUCUCUCCUGCUGCCCUCUCAGACUCAGCAACCAAAUGUGUGUCUGGAAGUGCACUGCUUCGUAUGUCAGCCAGACUGACC
rnacentral:lncRNA from 1 species